rnacentral:tRNA from 1 species
GGGAGCUUGGCUCAGUUGGAAGAGCGCAGGUCUCAUACCCAAGGAUCUUAUCCCAGCAUCCGAAGUAUGAUCGGGCUAGACACCCGAGUAAUCCUGAGGUCGUGAGUUCGAGCCUCACAGUUCCCA